rnacentral:tRNA from 1 species
GCUCACGUGGCGAAAUUGGUAGACGCACCAUCUUGAGGGGGUGGAUCUUGCGAGUUCGAAUCUCGUCGUGGGCA